AAGAGAGUGGGUCUCAAGCUGAUCUAUAUGGCUCAUCACCUGAAAAGACAGUUUCUAUUCUCUGCAGAGAUCAUGGGUGUCUGGAUGAACCUGAAAGGGAACAAGGGGUAUGUGCUGCGGUGAGAUGUGCCACACGAGUCACGCAAGGAAGAGAAGGAGCGCCAUGGUCUGCUAAAGUCAGAAGAGGGAGAGAAAGUGAGAGCGAGACAGGGAGGGAAAUCUAUUUCUCUCUCUCUUUGUGUGUCUUUCUCUCACUCUCUGUGUAUUUGUGUGUGUGUGUGUGUGUGUGUGUGUGUGUGUGUGUGUGUGUGUCAUAACAGUGCUAAAAUUAGAAAACCUUGGCGAAUGUCCUGUACCUGCAGGUUGAACCACUGCUGCUGUAUUGUCUCUGCAGAAAUGGCUGGAGAUGCAGAACUGCAGUAAAAACGAUAACAGUUAAUUUCCAAAACUGCAAUAGUAAAACUGUAGAGCACAAACAAUGACAUAAUCUGAGUUUCAUCAGAGACGAAAUCUAAAAAAGCAAAUGUCAUAUAUAUUCUGCAUAGUUUGUUUGAAUCUACUGAACCAAUCUAUUUAUAUUCUCUUUUGGGAAUAAUUGUCUAAAUUGAAGUAAUUCUAAUCAUUUUGAGCUAAACUAAGUGCAGGGAUGUCUUUACUUUGAAAAGUGCAUUUUUUUUUUCCUUUUUGUGGUUUCCUGUCACUUUUUUUAUUUGAUGCAUUAUUUAAAAAUGAAAUGAAAUAAAAAGACCACAUAAGACAUUUCCUGCUCUUUAUAUGAACCCAAUAUCAUUGUAAAAUUAAAAUAUUACUCAUGCACUUAACUAGCACACUCUACUCUGACAGGCUCUUGCGUGUUCCCAAAAUAUUUUUUAGAGUGUAUUCUGCCUUUGCAACUGAAGCAAGCAAGCCGCCUUCCUUCUCUAUGAUUAAAAAACAAUAUCCUACCCCAGUCUCCGGCACUUUUUGGAAUUUCACAAUUGUUGUUUUUGUAUUGCAGGCUAAGUUUGCUCAACCCUGUAAAUAAAAUGCAUGCAGUCA